GAUGAAGAACGUAGCGAAAUGCGAUAAGUAGUGUGAAUUGCAGAAUUCAGUGAAUCAUCGAAUCUUUGAACGCACAUUGCGCCCCAUGGUAUUCCGUGGGGUAUGCCUGUUCGAGCGUCAUUUACCCCCUCAAGCUCCGCUUGGUGUUGGGCGUCUGUCCCGCUUCGCGCGCGGACUCGCCCCAAAGGUAUUGGCAGCGGUCGUACCAGCUUCUCGCGCAGCACAUUGCGCUUCUCGAGGCACCGGUGGGCCCGCGUCCAUCAAGCUCACCCCCCCAGUUUGACCUCGGAUCAGGUAGGGAUAACCGCUGAACUUAAGCAUAUCAAUAAGCGGAGGA
rnacentral:misc_RNA from 1 species